UGCAAAGAGCACUGGUUAAUCGGAGGUAGUAGAGGGAGACAGGGAUAAUUGGAGGGACAUAAUGGAAGGAGUGCAUUAGCGAGGGUCUGCGCAGGCGCACUUUACCCAGGGCUUCCUGUAAGUGGUCGCUUGCUGGGCAGAAUCUAUUUUCUCCCUGGGACACCCAUUACAGCUUCGCGGGAUAGAAACCAUGGUGCCCUGUUCUUGGCACUGAGGAGGAGCAAACUAAGGAAGAACUCCUAUGAAAUUAGGGUCUGGACUCCCCUUGGCUCUUUGCACAUAAUUUCCUUAACAGCUUGUUCAGCUGCACCCUUGAGCGCCACCUUCAGGUGAUGAGCUGAAUUUUCAGGAGAGGAUUCUGAGGAAUGGAGAAAAAAUAUGCCCAAGUGAAGCUGGCCAGGCCAGCCUUCUGUGACUUCCUAACCGAUAGUUCAGGAAGAGGAUGGGGCCAGGAUUGGAGACUUUAGUCGUACAAUAACAUUGCCAAGAAGCGCUGUGUCUAGUUGAUAGUGGGAUGUGCCCUCUCUGGAAACUUUCUCUGUUAUCUACCUGGUCAAGACUGACUUGGAGGUGUGCAGUAAAGCUUGCUGCUGAUUUGAUGACGAAAUGGAAACACUUCUGUGGCGGUUUGGAUGCUUGACUGUAGGGAGUGGCCAUCAUUAGGCAUUGUGGCCUUGUUGGGGGGAAGUGUGUGACUCUUACACUCAAGCUUCAUCCAAUGGGGAAGACAGUUUCAUCCUGGCUGUCUGCAGAAGACAGUCUCCUCCUGGUUGUCUUCCCAUCAAGAGGUAGAACUUUUAGCUCCUUCAACACCGUGUCUGCCUGCCAUGAUGAUCAUGGACUGAACCUCUGAAACUGUAAACCAGCCUCGAUUAAAUGUUUGCUUUUGCAAGAGUUGUUUUGGUCAUGGUGACUCUUCACAGCAAGGAAGACCUUAACUCUGAAUAACCUCUGAAUUCAGAAUGAGGCGAAAGGGAGAAAAAGUGUUCCUAAUUAACAGCGUUCAUGAUGUCUUUCUCCAUUUCCUGAAGGGAAACUUUAGUUUGCUUCUCAAGCAGACAUCAAGCAUUAACGCCGCCAUCCAUCUACCAAGACCAGAUGUUCUACCUGGUCCUGCAGCUUCCUUCUCACUCACCUGGUCUUGGCAGAAGCAUCCCUUCCCGCAGUGUACGAGGGACAGCUAUGGUACCAUGUGAACAUCAACCGCAGGUUCCCAUGGGUCUUUGCGACCCCAUAGGGAGGAACCUGAAUGUAAUUAUAUUCUAUUCACAGACAAGGGCAGACAAGCAUACAGAUUUGCAAUCAUUUUUCUGAAGACACACAGCUAGAAACCAAUUGAGCUAAUGUAGAACCCAGUCAUCCAGCUGGGGAGCCUAUGCUCUUUCUAAAAAUAUUUAUUUAUUUUAUGUAUAUGAGUGCUCUAUCUGCCUGUGUACCUGCAUGUCUGAAGAGGGCAUCAGAUCUCACUAUAGAUCAUUGUGAGUUGUCAUGUAGUUGCUGGAAAUUGAACUCCAGACCUCUGAGAAAGCAGUUUGGUGCUCUUUACCUCUGAGCUAUCUCUCCAGCCCAGGAACCUAUGCUCUUAAUCAUCAAAACUUGCUUUCAACUCACCCAGGAAUUCACAGUUUCAAGGAGCUCAAAAGAAUCCUCUUUAAAGUAAUUGCUUACAUGCCCAAAGAGCUCUUUCUCCACAAUGGAUAUGUGUGAAAAUGAACAUCUAACUAUGGCUGGAAGAUGACGAAGUGCUGACUUGGAAUUCUAUCCCGAAGCCGUCGGCUCUGAGCCUCACAGUGAGCUUGAGCUCUGCAAAGGGAGGCACUGGAUUAAAUGUGUGUGUGUUAGCCAUUCCUGUUUCCAGAAUGCCUAGGCUUUCUUCCUGUGCCAAGACCCACAUACAGUGACUAUAAUACAAGCAGGCUUUUAGAAAUGCAUAUAUUUUACAUCAUUUAUACUCAAUAAUUUAAAUGUCAGGAAAAUAUUUCUUUCCAUAAAAAUUCACAUAAGUAAAAUAUUGGAUGCCUUGAAUCACCCAAGGUUUGUCCACACCCUUUCCUUUGUGACGACUCAGGCAGUUGGCUCCCUUUCUGGGUCAUCCUGAGAGGAUGCUAAGGGACUGUCUGUCUCUCAUACGUAUUUGUAAGGUCUUCUAGCAUUUGGACUUAGAGUAGCCUCUUUGGAGUAUAUUUUCCUCUCUCAUUUGCAUGUAAAUAAUGUGAGCAUGACCUUGUAAAUUUCCCACAGGCUGUUUUUAGAAAUAGGUGCUGUCAUCCUGGGGUGGGUGGGUGAGAGGCUUUGCACCAUUCCUAAGCACAUCUAAUUCAAUUAACUCAGUUGGUUCGAGUGUGGUUUAAGACAUCCAAGGUCAAAGUAACUAAAGCUUUCAAGUUUGAAGAGAGAGCUUGAGUAUUCCAGACACCAAAAGGAUUGUGUUCCAAGACAGACACUGGUUGUACCGACACAGAUAAUCAUGGUAACAGAAAACUAUGAGAUGGGGCUUUAGUGUCUUUUAAUUUGACAAAAAAGCACCUAAAGAGGCCAUUCUCUGCAGCAUGGUGGCCCGGUCUACAGAGCCAGCUGACUUCCGAAGAACAGUGUUCUGUAUGAGUGCUUGACUAUUUUACACUAUUCCUGUACAUUGUAUGGUGUUCUCUCUCUCUCCUUACCCCUCCCUCUUCCUCCCCCACUCCCCACCCGUUUGCCCUUGCUGCCUGGUAUGCACAAGUCUCCUUGGAGGCCCCCACAGGCUGUGGUGCUGCUCUCAGGACUACAGAACCCUUUUCGUCAGCUCUGCCUGAUUUCUGUUGGGCUUCCCUGAGAUCCAGAUGUGUACUUGAGAUUUAUAGUUGUUUACUGGGGAAAGAAAGUUUCAUAUAAAACAGGAAAAGAAUUUUUCAUAUAAAGAAUAAAUAUUUGUGCUGGAGAUGGAGAAGCAAAUGCCUUGGCUGGACCUAGUUUCUGUGGCUAGCUGAAUGUCUGGUACAUAAUAAUGCCUCCUAUUCAUGACCUAACGGACAGGAUGGGCUCAGCAGAGUGUUGAAAGGCAUCAUUUUGAUUUUCACAAAACCUUGCAAAAUAGACACUGUUGUUAUCCAAGUCAGUGAGGAUGAAGAAACAGUCUCACCUCCAUCCAUUUCCCGCCCAAACUGGAUUACAUAUUUAUAAUUUUGUGAGUGAGUACUGAGCCUCAGGGUUGGAGUUCAAGUAUUCCUCUGAGCUUCCCUCCAGAAGGCUGCACUAACACUGGAGUUAGGCCUCCCAAGGCCAGUGUUGUUCGGUAGCAGCUGUAGCUGUGGGAAUAGCUUUUCUUGAACCUACCUUUCCUCUGCUCUCAUUGGCUUAGACUAGGCCAGAAACUCUAGACUAGUGGUUCUCAAUCUUCCUAAUCCUGUGACCCUUUAAUACAGUUCCUUAUGCUGUAGUGACCCCAAUUGUUUUCAUUGGUACUUCAUAACUGUUCUGUUAUGAUUCUUAAUGUAAAUAAUUUUGUAGAUAGAGGUUUGCCAAAGGGGUCAUGACCCACAGGUUAAGAGCCAGUGCUCUAGACAAUAGGAAUAUUGCCAUGAAGUGUCUUGUGCCUUUAGCACAUGUCACUGACUUAGUAAUGGAAUCCUGCAGCUAAUGAUAAUAGCCUUCUAUAGGACACCUGGGGACUCAUCUUUCUUAUUCUCUGCAGUCUUAUGUAUUGAAAGUGUUUUCUCUGAUUUUUUUUUAUUUUAAUGGGAGAUAUCAAAUUUAGGGUUUUGAUCAUGGUCCCUAAGCAUUCUCCCAUUGAGCUGCAUUCCUAACUCUUGAGGUAUCCCGUCCAUCACUUGUAAUACAUAUAUUAUUUUUCCAAUAAAAAAUCUUAUGUAUUAACUACUAAGUCAAUACAUUUUCAUCCCUGUCAUUUAUACACAUAAAGAUCUGAGGAAAGAAUUGGUUAGAAAUGCUUGGUUUUAAUAUCAACC
rnacentral:sRNA from 1 species